AUUACAAGUGGCUGAACCUUGAGUCUGGCGCCAUCUUGUGUUCUAAAGGCGGAAAUGGCUGCCUCUCCCUGAAAAUCAGACUGUGUGAUACUUAUUUGAAGAAAAGGUGGUGUUUGGACGGUGAGACGCAGCAGCUGCUGAGUCCAGUGCAGUAUUGCUGCUGAAUAACCAGCAGCACUCUUAGAUACCACAGCAGUGCAGGUGAUGGGAGCUGACAAGAGAGGGUCCACCAGUCUUGGUACAGGUUUGCUAUCAAGUGUUCUUCUCAAAACUGCCCCGAAAUGUGCUCUGUCGAGCUACGCUGCAAGCAGGAUUUUUUGAUACACGGAUGACCACUGAAAUAACACUGACAAAGCCAAGCCCAGCUUUGUUCCCAGUCCUGACAGCAUGAAAAUGGCAACUCUUUACCACAGGGUGAUGGAGGCAGGACUUGGCUGGGACAAGGAUCACAUUUCAAAGACUUGUGUCUGCCAGCCUCCACACUAAUGGUUGCAGUGUGAGGCAGGGAAAGAAGAAAAACUUCCUUGUGAAAGUAGGAAUGCAAAGUAUUCCCCACAAUGCCACACUGCUGCAAUUACUCCAGCGCCUGGUGCUGGGCCAAGACAAUGAGAUGACAGCUUGUGGUGUUGAGGGGGAGAGCAGUUCAACUCCCAUCUCUCCUCUGUGUGCUGUCGGCCGGCUGUAGACCUAUCUACACUGAAACCUUGUCUCUUGGACCUCUAAAGUGCUGUGUCCAGAAUGAAUGUAUUGCCAUCUGGUAUUCACAUCAAUUGGUGUCUAAACAUCAUAACCCAAUAAAACCUUGCCUGACA